AAAAUCUGGCCUUAAGUCAUGUAGAAUUAAAUUUAUUCAAACAGUCAAUUAAAAGUCUUAUUAGAACAUACAGGAGAAUGCCUUUAAACUAGAAUUGUCAACAUAAUCCUUACCGCACUCAAACCAUAUCAAGCAAGCCAAAAUUGAAAUUCAAACAAAUUUGAUCAAUUGGUCAAAUUACUCAUGAUCAUUGUGAUGUAACCACAUGAAAAUAAUGG
rnacentral:lncRNA from 1 species